UUUUGAAGAAAAGUUCUCAUCAAUUUUCCAUUUUUCCUUCUUCAAUUUACAGAGAACAUUUAAGAGAGAGUUUGGAAGGAAGAAGAAGAGGAAUUUUACUAGAGUUUUGAGGUUGAAGAAGAGGAGAACUCAAGCAAAGUGUAUCCAUGGCUGAAUCUUGGUUCAUUCUGCACAUCACUUGUUUUUAAUUCGAUUAGAACUCUUCAAAAGGAAUUAAGAGGGCAGUUUGUUUUCACCCGAAAUCAGAAGGACUCUGGGUUUUCUUGUAUUUCAGAGUGUACUGGUGGAGUUAGGAUCUCUAUUUGGUUUGGUUUGAAAGCUUAUUCAAUUUACUACAACUUUCAUGAAGUAAUCGUGAACCAAAAACGACUAAAAAAAGUUAAAUUGUAGGGACAAGUUAAAGAGGUCGUGUGCGCGCGAUUCUUGAAGUUGUUCUGUUUCGAGGGUUAUCUGAGUUUAUUCACAGGGAAUCAGAUUUACAUGUCUUCAGGCCGAGAAGAAUUAAACCGAGCUUAUAGACCAAUGAUCUAGUCCAAGACUGUAAAGAUCGAGUUCCUGGUGCCUGAUAGACUGCCUUAGUCUGCUGAAGCUCCGUUAUCGAUUGUCAGUACGUGUUUUGAGUUGGGCAUAGAGUCUGUUGUGUUAUGAUGUAUAUACACCCUUGUAUGUUAUAGAUACUCCACAGUUUGUAUAAGCUUCAGGAGCUGCGGUCUGUAAAUUUUUGUUGGUUAUAUUUUGAUUAAGGUGUCUUUAGGUUUACUCGUGAAAUCAGUUAAUUCCGAGGUACACUUCAUGUAUGUGUUUGACUAGCCUAGGAUCCACUAUGUUUUAUUGCAUGUAUAAUAGUUUAUAUACUAGAUUGGCAAGUUCAUCAAAUUAAAGUUUUAAAUAGAGUCGAUAGAUACAGGUAAAGUAAAGCAUUGUUAGUCGGCUUCACGCCAUCUUUCGGUCUAAGCUAACAGGUAGUCUGGGAGGGGGUGUGACAAGCGCAGAACGCUAAUGCUAAAUUUGCAGAUGUUGAAGAUUUGUUUAACCAUGAAGUAAAGUAUCCGACUUCAAGCGUCUGACAACUCUUAUCUAACCUAAAGCUCCACAUAAUGGAGCAGAGGCUCAAAGAUCAUUGAAUAAAGAGCGGAUUUUCAGGGAGGAGGAGAGUAAGAAAGUCCCAUGUAGCGGUAGGCUAGUUUGAUUCUUUCCUAAAGAUUAUCCAGGAGUGUAGGCUCGAUUCUUAAUACGAAAGGACAUUUGUAAAGAAGACCAAAGUAUGUGCCCAUCAAGAGGACUCAUUCAAUUCCACACUAAAGAGGCGAUACCGAGUAGCUUUACCGUAGAUGAGACACCCUGCUGGGCAAAACAAUGCCUUUAAACUUCGACGUAAAUAUAGAGGCAUUAAAAUGCAAUUCGUUCUUGAAGUUGAUGAAGGGUAGACUUAUUAAGCUAUAUAGGACCAUGAUAUCCACUGAAAGUAUCAAAAUCAAAGGUAUAAGGAAGAAGAAGAAGAUUCAAAUAAGACUGCUCUGCUACUUGAAUCGUCUGAAGUCCUUCGAUCAUUCUUUUUCAACUUCUAUGGACCAUCUGUUAGGAUCAAAGAGGUUUUGAGGACCUGAGCGGAGGACUCAUGAAAUACCUUCCUUAUCAAUGAGACUUUUUAUUCAAUGAUUGUCUAGUUCCAUCUUUGACUUAUUGGAUCAAAUGGAAAGCUCUCAUAUUUUUCUAGUGGAAUGAAUGAAAGAACGAACGAAUGUAGGAACU